rnacentral:sRNA from 1 species
AGUCUUACAUCGUAGUGCGUGAUGAACCUUCAAUCGAAUUAGUUACAUAAGACGUGAAUCCUUUAAAUAUCGAAGCCUUGACUGGAGGAACAAUGAUGCCUGCGGACAUCGCUUGAAAUUAACCCAUUAAGGAUCUUCUCGCAAGGCGUUUAAAACCGGCCUUUAAUGGGUUAAAUUGUAAAGAAAUAAAAACAUGUAUAUACGUAUUACGUUGAGUUAUGGAGCUAGGGGCAUAGGAGCAUAGUGCCCUCCUCUUCCGUCCUGCGCGACGCUUUACCUAAUCGGCUUGGACCGGCUCUAUUUGGCGACACGCUUUCUGGACACAAACUGAUAUUCCGCGAUCCCUCCUCUAGCCCCACCCGCAGGUCGCACCCUCUGGUGGCUAGGAAUUCCUCUUGCGUGCCCGCGGUCAGCGAUAUGUAUACCAUCGUUUACCAGGGGCUUCACGCUUCUGGUCUUCCGGUUCAUAUGAUCGAGUGCAAUUUGACUGCAGAAAAUAUUCUUGAUUGGCCCAUGAUAAGGACCAAAUCAAGUAUUUUUGUCUUACGGUCACAGGAAGCUGUCGCACACCAAGGUCGGACCACAAAUAACAAAGAAAUAAAAAUAUGCAUGCAUUAUGAAAUUUGCCAAAAA